GGUGAACGCUGGCGGCGUGCUUAAGACAUGCAAGUCGAACGGCAGUCUUCGGACUGUAGUGGCGCACGGGUGAGUAACGCGUAACUGACCUACCCCAAAGUCGCGGAUAACGAUUCGAAAGAAUCGCUAAUACGUGAUGUGCUGUCAGAUUGUGUUCUGCCAGUAAAGAUUGAUUGCUUUGGGAUGGGGUUGCGUUCCAUCAGCUAGUUGGUGGGGUAAAGGCCCACAAAGGCGACGACGGAUAGCCGGCCUGCGGGGGUGGCCGGCCACAGGGGCACUGAGACACGGGUCCCACUCCUACGGGAGGCAGCAGUUAGGAAUCUUCCACAAUGGGCGAAAGCCUGAUGGAGCGACGCCGCGUGAGGGAUGAAGGUCUUCGGAUCGUAAACCUCUGAAUCAGGGACGAAAGACACUUCGGUGGGAUGACGGUACCUGAGUUAUAGCACCGGCUAACUCCGUGCCAGCCGCCGCCGUAAAAC
rnacentral:rRNA from 1 species